GACGAACGCUUGCGGCGUGCUUAACACAUGCAAGUCGAGCGGUAAGGCCCUUUCGGGGUACGACGAGCGGCGAACGGGUAGAGUAACACGUGGGUGGACCUGCCCUCCAGCUCUGGGAGUAAGCCUGGGAAACCGGGGUACGUAAUACCGGAUAUGACUCCAUGACGCAUGUUGUGGGGUGGAAAGCCUUGUGCGGCUGAGGAUGGGCCCGGCGGCCUAUCAGCUUGUUGGUGGGGUGAUGGCCUACCAAGGCGACGACGGGUAGCCGGCCUGAGAGGGCGACCGGCCACACUGGGACUGAGACACGGCCCAGACUCCUACGGGAGGCAGCAGUGGGGAAUCUUGCGCAAUGGGCGAAAGCCUGACGCAGCGACGCCGCGUGA
rnacentral:rRNA from 1 species